UCAUUAAAUGGCUGAAUUGAAAGCCUUGGUCUCUUAAACCAUCUCAUAAUAUAAUCAAAUAUUUUUAAUGAU
rnacentral:tRNA from 1 species